rnacentral:rRNA from 1 species
CCUACGGGAGGCAGCAGUGAGGAAUAUUGGUCAAUGGGCGCGAGCCUGAACCAGCCAAGUAGCGUGAAGGAUGACUGCCCUACGGGUUGUAAACUUCUUUUAUAAAGGAAUAAAGUGAGGCACGUGUGCCUUUUUGUAUGGACUUUAUGAAUAAGGAUCGGCUAACUCCGUGCCAGCAGCCGCGGUAAUACGGAGGAUCCGAGCGUUAUCCGGAUUUAGUGGGUUGAAAGGGAGCGUAGAGGGGUUGUUAAGUCAGUUGUGAAAGUUUGCGGCUCAACCGGAAAAUUGCAAUUGAUACUGGACACCUUGAGUACCGUUGAGGUAGGCGGAAUUCGUGUUGUAGCGG